GUUGCAUAUCCAAAUAAGCGGAGGAAAAGAAACCAACAGGGAUUGCCUCAGUAGCGGCGAGUGAAGCGGCAAAAGCUCAGAUUUGAAAUCGUGUUUCGGCACGAGUUGUAGAUUGCAGGUUGGAGUCUUUGUGGAAGCGUGUGUCUAAGUCCCUUGGAACAGGGUGCCAUUGAGGGUGAGAGCCCCGUGAGACGCGUGCGGAAGCUGUAAGGCCCUUCUGACGAGUCGAGUUGUUUGGGAAUGCAGCUCUAAGUGGGUGGUAAAUUCCAUCUAAGGCUAAAUAUUGGCGAGAGACCGAUAGCGAACAAGUACUGUGAAGGAAAGAUGAAAAGCACUUUGAAAAGAGAGUGAAACAGCACGUGAAAUUGUUGAAAGGGAAGGGUAUUGGGCUCGACAUGGGAUUUGCGCACCGCUGCUCCUUGUGGGCGGCGCUCUGUGCUUUUCCUGGGCCAGCAUCGGUUUUUGCCGCAGGAGAAGGCGUGCUGGAAUGUGGCUCUUCGGAGUGUUAUAGCCAGUGCGAGAUGCUGCGUGCGGGGACCGAGGACUGCGACAUCUGUCUCGGAUGCUGGCACAACGGCGCAAUACCGCCCGUCUUGAACCACCGGACCA
rnacentral:rRNA from 1 species